AUGAAUUAGAUUUUUAAUGGCUGCAGUAUAACUGACUGUACAAAGGUAGCAUAAUAAAUUGAUUUUUAAAUGAAAUCUGGAAUGAAAGGAUUAAUGAAAUAUGUACUGUCUCAUUUAUAUAAUAUGAAUUUAAAAUUUUAAUAAAAAUGUUAAAAUUUUUUUAUGGGACGAUAAGACCCUAUAGAAUUUUAUAUUAACUUUACCUAGCGGUUAAUGCUGGUCUUUUGUUAAUAUUUGGUUGGGAGGAUUAUUAAAUUUAACAAACUUUAUAUCAUUAUAAACUUUGAUUUAAGAAAAUAUAAUGACCUUCAAUUUGAAAUAGUUAGAGUAAAUUACCUUAGGGAUAACAGCGUAAUAUUUUUUUAUAGACCUUAUAGAAAAAAAUGGUUGCGACCUCGAUGUUGAAUUAAGAUAAAUUUUAAAUGCAGGAG
rnacentral:rRNA from 1 species